rnacentral:lncRNA from 1 species
ACGUGCACGCAAACGCUGACAACAGCGGCAGGCGCCUUUUAAGCGCUCAGGACAGCCAGAGCGGGAUGCACGCCUAGGCAGACAGGUAACACCCGCCUCGCGUUCACUUUUCCGGAGAAAUUCUCAAAUCUCACGGAGUGGCAACUGCGCAAGGGCGAAGCGGCGCAGUCUGGGGCCAGCUCCAGCGGGCGGGGCCUGGAGUCAGCCCUCUGCAGCCCACGCCCCUCACCGGCGCAGGUUUCCCCUAAGAUGCCAACUGAGCUGCGUUCCCCUCUCAGGCACACACUAUAAUUUCUGAAGGUGAUGGCAUGCACCGGAGUGCCCACCAGUUGUGUCCUGGCCACACUCCAGUGGAGGUCCCUGGAUGUCCUGCCCCCUGCAGGUAGUUGCCUCCUGUGAGCUCAUCUUUGAACUCUCUGUGGUACUAAAGGACGAGGAGUACAUGCAGGAUUGAAGAUAAUUUUCAGGACACACUUUAGCCAACAGUCUGAACCUUUGUUCUUCCUGACUGAGCCCUUGUAACAAAGAUGAGAACAUAGAACAUAGCCAGUUAAUUUGAGUUUGAAUUUAUUUUUUCACACCUGGUGAAGAAAAUAAUAAAAAUGUUUAGCAGUGAGAAACUAAAAAUGAAGAAAUGAAAAUAUCCACAGCCCCUGAAAAAUCAAGAGUUGACUAUAGG